ACAUGGGAGUGCAUUCACGGGCCUCUAAAGGAUGAAGCUCUCUGAAUAACUCUGAUUUCCCUGCCCAGGAGCGAAGGGCUUACUUGAGAGUCGACUGGAAAGUUCUGCGGAGAGGCUGGUCAUGCCGCUGGCACGGCCGGGUGAAAUGGGUGUCGCUGGGUGGACAGAGGAAGAGGUGAUGGAUCCCAGUUUGGUUUUAGUGUCCGGGAAAAUAAAACACAACAACCACCACAAACUCGACAACGUAAGGACCACAGACCUGCUUGUUCCUGGGCAAACAUUUUAACCUGGAAUCUCUGGGUGAAGAGACCUCCUGACAUCCUCGCAAUGGUGGAGAGUUUGUCUGAAGGGACGGCACAGAAAAGGGAGCUGGCACACACUAAACUCAUCAGACAAGUGCUGCAAUGCAGGUGGAGCCUUGUGCGGUUUUACAGCCGACUGAGGCCUGGAGGUGCCCCGAGAACAGAGGGUCUCAACUGAAACACAAGGAAAAGCGGACAAACCCAUCCUUAUGGAAGGAGACUCUAGCACCCUCUUCCAGUCACCGUUAGACCAUGCAAGCAGAAAUUCAGACUCGGCUGACCUGGACAGUAUCAGUUUGACCUACAGAACACUGGUAGGCUGUUCCUUUCUUCUGAGGCACACAGAUCACUCGAUAAGGCAGACUACACUUGAGGCCACGGAAGACUACUUGGGCUUAAAGG
rnacentral:lncRNA from 1 species